rnacentral:rRNA from 1 species
CAAUAGCGUAUAUUUAAGUUGUUGCAGUUAAAAAGCUCGUAGUUGGAUUUCGGUUGAGAGCGACCGGUCCGCCGUUUGGUGUGCACUGGUUGGUUUUAACUUCCUGUAGAGGACGUGCUCUGGGUUUAACGACCUGGACUCGGAGUCUACGUGGUUACUUUGAAAAAAUUAGAGUGUUCAAAGCGGGCUUACGCUUGAAUAUUUCAGCAUGGAAUAACACUAUAGGACUCCUGUCCUAUUUCGUUGGUCUCGGGACGGGAGUAAUGAUUAAGAGGAACAGUUGGGGGCAUUCGUAUUUCAUUGUCAGAGGUGAAAUUCUUGGAUUUAUGAAAGACGAACUUCUGCGAAAGCAUUUGCCAAGGAUGUUUUCAUUA